AGUGAUGGAAGUGCAGCUGAAGACACGUAUCUGACAUUUGUUUUGACUUUUGGCUGUUUGGAUCUUCCAUGAUGCAUUUGAGAAUUUUGCAAUGUGUGGACAACUUGCAAACAAAGAGGGAAAAAAAAAAAGUCAUCAAAUGAUCCAGUCUGUCAUCUGAGCCUUGUCUAGACCUGUGCCUUUAAAAUAAACAAACUCCAAGAAGAAAAUCAAUACCUUAGGUGGAAGAAUUCAUGCAUUUCAGAGCUUCAGGCACUUUUUCUACAUGUCGAGUGCAGCCUGGACCUCAUUAAAUUGUUUUCAUAGCAAGAUGAGAAAAAGGACCUUCCUGAUGGAUCUUAGAUCCUGCUGCCAGAUAGUUUUCAGCUUUUACAUGGACUUGGUCGUGUACUACUGUUGACUUCAGUAGAGGAACUGCGAAUCUCAUGGUAUCUCAGCCUUCAGGCUCCUAAUCCCAGCUGGUCAGGCCUCACAGCAUCUGCAGGGAAAUGGAAAUGGUGAAGAGAGAUGUUGCAGCUGCUUGAAGAAAAAAUAGCUGGCACUUUCUCAUCUCAAAGGCUGGUACCCCUCAGAACCAUUGCAAGGAAGUUUAAUUUGGAUGUUAAUCUGCUUUAUGAGGAUAAGUUGGGCCUGUAGCUGUUACGCUGCUUCACAGGAAAAAUGUCCAUGUAUUAUGAAGAGUAGUUGUCUUAAAUGUAUUUUCUGCAUAUUUCUGAGUAACAGUUGGAGUUAUCCUGGAACCUCUGGAAGCUGUAACUGGGAUAUUCUAUUACUCAAGAGCAACGAUUUUCACCACCACUUCUGGAUGUCUUCUUGGCAGAUAACCUGCAGCCAACAGAUUUAGCUACUAAAUGGUCAUGGAAAUAUGAUUUGAAUUGCUCUCCGUACUGCUGAGUUCACAGGUAAUCCUAUCCCAGCUAACUUGAGAUGAUUACUGUGGAAUACUGUUGGGCAGGUGGGAGGAAUGUGAAGCAAAAAUUACAGCUGCUGGCCAUAGAUCUGCAGCUUUCAAGAUCUCACCAUCCAAGUCUUUCAUCUUCUCAGAACCAGAGAAAUCACCUCUAUGUGCUCCAGAACAGAAACAGCCCAUCUGACAUCAGGAACGUGGCAAUCAAAAUAAGUUGACUUUGAAAACCUUGCAGCCGAGGUUCUUAUGAGCAGCCUUUUUUUCAGCUGGCUGGCAUGGGACCACGGCCAUCGUACCCAGUGACAUGCAGUACAGAGGACUGCGUUUGAGUAGGAAUAAGAGUUCAUGUGGCCAAAUGGCUGAAGCAUGUGGCAGCAAUGCUGCUGUGAAGCAGAAUCUGGAUGUGAGCUGACUUCUCCCUCUUCUUCACAUUCAAGACUUAAGGCCCAAGCACAGGCAGGCUGGUGCAGCGUGGACGCUUGGGCAGCUGGGACUCCAGGAUCAGGUGAAGUAAGAUUCUCAUUCCAGUGCAGCACCACAGGAAGCAGAGAUGCCCUGAAGCAUCUAACCCUACCAUGUACACAGUUAGAUAAGUAUUUCUGGGUGGGAGUUAUCAUAUGGAACCUCUUUUAUUUUACCAUUAUAAGAAGAAUUUCCUUGAGCUUCUCCAAUUAAAGACAAAUUAAUAAGCUCUCAUAGUAUUUGGAAAGCAAUGGGCCUGGCUGCUCUGUUGAAACUCCAAGAAGUGUACUGGGUUACCUAGAGAUGGAGCUCUGUAAAGAAUGAAAUUUUGGUCAGUUGCUCUAAUUAUUAUAUAUAUAGUUUUUUGAGAAUUGUAUUUUGGGUUUGGUCAAAUCUAGAUUUAAAAAACAAAACUAUUGGCAAAACAAGAAAUAAUUAUCAUCAGGAAAAGUAUCUUUUUUGUUCAACCCAAAAUAUUUAGUUCAGCUUCAAAGAACAGCUUCAUUUUUGGUCUUGGGCCACUUCACACAUUUUAAAGCUUUUUUUUCCUUUUUAAAGUUAGGCCAAAUUUAAACUGGACAGCUAAAAGUCUUUGUUUUGAAACUGAAGUGUUUUGGCAGUUCUAGAAUGAAACGCUCCAUUUUGAAAACACUAAAAUGAAGUGUUUUGACAUUUCAUUUUUCUUUCUCUGCAUUGUUUCAUCUGGAUCUAUUUGUUAAAUUCCAUUCAAAUUCAGAAGGAGUCCCAGUGCCUCUGAAAUGCCUCUGUGUGGUAUAUUUAUUAUUUGUCAGAAAGCAGUGAGUCAUUAAACUCUGCAUCAGUUCGACAUUAAAUAACAGGAGAGGAUGCUUAAUAGGGAAUUGAUUGUAUACAGCUACAUUUCUCCCUCCUAAUUACUGCUGUAAGGGUGAGCACCCAGCAGUGUGGAGCCACUGCAGCCAAGGACACAGCUUUCACCCAUCUGGCAGAAGAGGUGGAGGUCAGUCCCCAGAUCCUUCAGCUGGUGCUGUUUUCUCCUCUCCUUCAAGUAGGUCAGUCUUCUUCCUCCCUGAGUGUUAAUGUAAACUGUAUGCCUUGCUCUAGUGUUUCUGUUGCUGUAAGCUAGAAUGAACAGACAAAAAGAAUGAAAAACUUAGUUUUUUUAGUUUUGUGGUUACUGUUUUUGAAUAUUCAAAAAUGCUGAGAUUACCUCAUAAGAAUAGCUGUAAAUUAUGGUGAAAUUAUAGUUUGAGAAGUGGAGAUUGAUAAAGAUUGAGGAGCAGCCCUGCAAACUUCCUUGGUGCUGCUUACAUUGAGUAACCAGAAUAUGACUCCUGGAGGGAAGGGGCAGAAGGAGGACAAUAAGUGUGCUAAGUGAUGCUAGAUACACCUGGGCAGUACUGAAGUUUCUCAGACAUAAGGCAGGAUCUCCAUGUACUUCUUCCUCCUGUCUGGAAAGAUAUGGUCUAGGAGGUUCGAUGUGGAAAUUCAUGUGUAUUCAGUCUAGGAGGAAACUUGAGGAGUACUCAUUCUGUAGAGACGCUUGAGGAAGCUUUCAAGGAAGAAUCUGUGAUAAAUGUUAGUAUAUGAAGUUAUUGCACUUCUGAUUUACUGCCUUUCUUCUGUCUUUUCUCAUUAAUGAAGAUUGAAGUUGGGUAUAGUCCAACUUGUUUAAAUAUUUCUAAAAGCUAUUUACCUGCAUUGUAAGUAAGCAGCUGGCAUACCAACAGUUUUCUUUUUUCGGGCUGCUCAACUUCACCGGGGCUAUUCACAGCUUGCACUUUACUAAGGUCGUUGGUAUCACUGUUACACUUUUUCAGUAUUAUAUGAGGAUCGAGUUCCAGUAGUUAACAAGUCAAAAAAUAUUCAUGGGGGUGGGAUAAGAACUAGGUAGAUGAGUGCAUUCCACACGUCCACUUUAUUUCUGGAAUUACUGCUCUCAUCCAUGUGAGAAAUAAUUGUGAUAAAAGAUAGGCCUGACCUGCAGUACCCCCAAAUCCCAAAGAAAUGCUUUUGCAGGCUGCACUCUAAAUGUUCCACUCCACUUUGGCCAAAGCACGAUGAGAUCUCAACUGCUGGCUACUGCUCAAUGUCUGGACGCUAAGUAGUCUCUGGGCCAGAAGUUGCAUUACUGUAAUUCGGAAUAGUUCCCAUAAAAUCAGUUUCUCAACAUCUAUUUUCUUGAAAUUCAAAGACAGAUUUGGCGCAUCACAUGGACUGAGUUUGACUGAAAGCUGGGGGCUGUAAUCUGCUCUGAGUUAUGGUGAAGUAGAGGAGAAUUAACUCCUUUGGUUUGAAUUGGCUUCAGACCUCGGGUCUCAUACUGACAUAACUGUGCUGACCUCAGUGGAAUUGAUCCUAAUUUAUGCGACUGUAACUGAGAUUGCAAUGUGCAUUGUUUAAAUUCUGUUGAGUGCGUCUUCUUCCAGGAUGGAAACUAUUUGCAAACUAUACAAGCUCUUUCCUAAGAUUGAGGCUUGUCAUAUCUGAGAUUUUUGGUGGGGCAAGGGUGUGGGGAUAAGGGUAUAAAGCACACUUUGUGUUUAGUGCUACCUUGUCUACUUUGAAUCCCUCAGCCUCCUGCAAAAUUAUCACUGCCUCCUUAGGAGACUACAGCACCCCUGUCCUCUCAUCCUAAUAUAAAGAAUGUUCCAGCUUUGCAAUCACCCUAGAGGAGGCAGGGGAACACCUUUAGGAAAUUAAACUUCUGUUUUUCCCAAUGUUACACAUUAUGUUUCUGAAGCAUAUGAUGAAUGGGAUGCUGUGCAGCUGUAAGAUCACACGUCUCAAAUGGUUUACUUGGCUCUCCCAUACU